rfam:Triticum urartu cultivar G1812 contig140066, whole genome shotgun sequence.
GUUUCUAUAGCUCAAGGGUAGAGCAUGGUACUGUUAAUAUCGCGAUAGAGGUUCGAGUCCUCUUAGAGACU